AUUGAACGCUGGCGGCAGGCCUAACACAUGCAAGUCGAGCGGAAACGAGUUAUCUGAACCUUCGGGGAACGAUAACGGCGUCGAGCGGCGGACGGGUGAGUAAUGCCUAGGAAAUUGCCCUGAUGUGGGGGAUAACCAUUGGAAACGAUGGCUAAUACCGCAUGAUGCCUACGGGCCAAAGAGGGGGACCUUCGGGCCUCUCGCGUCAGGAUAUGCCUAGGUGGGAUUAGCUAGUUGGUGAGGUAAGGGCUCACCAAGGCAACGAUCCCUAGCUGGUCUGAGAGGAUGAUCAGCCACACUGGAACUGAGACACGGUCCAGACUCCUACGGGAGGCAGCAGUGGGGAAUAUUGCACAAUGGGCGCAAGCCUGAUGCAGCCAUGCCGCGUGUAUGAAGAAGGCCUUCGGGUUGUAAAGUACUUUCAGUCGUGAGGAAGGCGUUGUCGUUAAUAGCGGCAUCGUUUGACGUUAGCGACAGAAGAAGCACCGGCUAACUCCGUGCCAGCAGCCGCGGUAAUACGGAGGGUGCGAGCGUUAAUCGGAAUUACUGGGCGUAAAGCGCAUGCAGGUGGUUUGUUAAGUCAGAUGUGAAAGCCCGGGGCUCAACCUCGGAAUAGCAUUUGAAACUGGCAGACUAGAGUACUGUAGAGGGGGGUAGAAUUUCAGGUGUAGCGGUGAAAUGCGUAGAGAUCUGAAGGAAUACCGGUGGCGAAGGCGGCCCCCUGGACAGAUACUGACACUCAGAUGCGAAAGCGUGGGGAGCAAACAGG
rnacentral:rRNA from 1 species